rnacentral:rRNA from 1 species
GACGAACGCUGGCGGCGUGCUUAACACAUGCAAGUCGAACGGAAAGGCCCUGCUUUUGUGGUGUGCUCGAGUGGCGAACGGGUGAGUAACACGUGAGUAACCUGCCCUUGACUUUGGGAUAACUUCAGGAAACUGGGGUUAAUACCGGAUAGGAGCUCCUGCUGCAUGGUGGGGGUUGGAAAGUUUCGGCGGUUGGGGAUGGACUCGCGGCUUAUCAGCUUGUUGGUGGGGUAGUGGCUUACCAAGGCUUUGACGGGUAGCCGGCCUGAGAGGGUGACCGGCCACAUUGGGACUGAGAUACGGCCCAGACUACUACGGGAGACAGCAGUGGGGAAUAUUGCACAAUGGGCGGAAGCCUGAUGAAGCAACGCCGCGUGCGGGAUGACGGCCUUCGGGUUGUAAACCGCAUUCGCCUGUGACGAAGCGUGAGUGGCGGUAAUGGGUAAAGAAGCACCGGCUAACUACGUG